CGCUGGCGGCGUGCCUAACACAUGCAAGUCGAACGGAUUUGAGGGGCUUGCUCCUCAAGUUAGUGGCGCACGGGUGAGUAACGCGUAGAUAAUCUGCCUGAUGAUCUGGGAUAACAGUUCGAAAGGACUGCUAAUACCGGAUAAGCCCACGUGGUCUUUGGACCGUGCGGGAAAAGGGGGGACCUUCGGGCCUUCUGUCAUCAGAUGAGCAUGCGUCCCAUUAGUUAGUUGGUAAGGUAACGGCUUACCAAGACAAUGAUGGGUAGGGGUCCUGAGAGGGAGAUCCCCCACACUGGUACUGAGACACGGACCAGACUCCUACGGGAGGCAGCAGUGGGGAAUAUUGGACAAUGGGCGCAAGCCUGAUCCAGCAAUACCGCGUGUGUGAAGAAGGCCCUAGGGUUGUAAAGCACUUUCAAUGGGGAGGAAAAAGAGUAAGCUAAUACCUUGCUUAUUGACAUUACCCAUACAAGAAGCACCGGCUAACUCCGUG
rnacentral:rRNA from 1 species